rnacentral:rRNA from 1 species
UACGUAGGGUGCGAGCGUUGUCCGGAAUUACUGGGCGUAAAGAGCUCGUAGGUGGUUUGUCGCGUUGUUCGUGAAAACUCACAGCUCAACUGUGGGCGUGCGGGCGAUACGGGCAGACUGGAGUACUGCAGGGGAGACUGGAAUUCCUGGUGUAGCGGGUGGAAUGACGCAGAUAUCAGGAGGAACACCGGUGGCGAAGGCGGGUCUCUGGGCAGUAACUGACGCUGGAGGAGCGAAAGCGUGGGGAGCGAACAGG